UAAAUAAUUGGGCACUACUUCUCCCCCAUCUGCCAUUCUUUCUCCCUCCCAAACUCAGAUUUAUCUCUUUCUCCCCCAAAAUUCACUUACCAUUUCAAACCCUAACUUCACACCAACAGAAGUUGCAACAAUCCCUAGCACUCCUUCCUCAACCCACAACCUGAAAACCCACAUUCAGCCGACCACCUGUAACCCUCCCAACCACCGGAGCACAUAAUAAAUUGUGUCGUGUAAAGCUUAAUUAAUCCUUCCAUCGUCACCACCGGAGCACCACCGUCAAUACAACUUCUCACCACCGGAGAAACCACCUAGGUUAACGUUUUUCUCCGAGAAACCACCUAGAUUAGAGAAUCUUCCGGUGUGACUUUGCGUUUUUGUGGUGGAGAAUUUUCCGGCGUGACUUGUACUGAAUAAUUUCCUGCGAAAUUUGUUGUUGCUGACCCGUGGGUUCGACAUCACUUGACCUGUGGGAGAUGCUCCUAAGAUAGGAAAUUCUUGAAUGUGGUAAUGGGAGAUGCUCCUAAGAUAGGUAAUUCCUUACUUGAGAGUCCACAAGUAAGAAAGAUAACAUUUACCGGUUUGACAGCUGUUGGAAAGAAAUUGAUGGCUGGUGCAGCCGAGACUGUUAAAAAGGUAUCUCUAGAACUUGGUGGUAAUGCACCUUGCAUGGUCUUCGAUGAUGCUGAUCUGGAAGUGGCACUGAAAGGGAGUGUAAGUUCACUUUUCAAUUAUUAUAUCGCAUAUAUGAUGUCAGAACGUUGUAUUAAAAGUGUUUGUUAUGCCUUUUCUUUUGCUUUAUUGGUAACUUGUAUAGUCCAAGGUGUUGAAAAUAUUUCAAUCAAACAGUAAAUUAAUAUUAACUUUAUAAAUUACCGAGUUAUCAGCCAAACCGGUUUGUUUCAACUUCAGCAAACUGAUUAAAGAAAGGUAGAAGGCGACUGUCCUGUUAUCGGACGAAUCUAAAGCACACGCAAAAUUAAGACCAACCUGGCGAUUGAGAACGAAGAUCCUUGAACGAAAAUCCUUGAACUGCACGGAUGACUCCUGUCCUUAAAGGAUUUUACGCGCUCGUAUUGAUGUGAGCUGUAGCGUAAACUCCCAGGAUUUAAUGCAGAACUAAUCUGGUAUUCCAACAGCAAUGGAAACCAGAAAACGCAGAAGCUGGAGAGGAAACUGGAGCACACAGGUGGGAAGAGGCUGCGAAAUUGCAAGUGUAUGAAUGGGUAGCAGGAGGCUUUUAUUUAUAGGUUGUGAUCAUACCAGAGAAUGAGAAAAACGGGGAUUGAGAUAACCAUUUAGAACCAAUUCGGUUGCCCCACUGUUUCGAAUUCACCUCUAUCUCCUUAUCUCAUUCGGUCCACAGAUCUGACCCACCUGAACCGGACCUUAGCUAAGUGCAAAGUGCACCUCAAACGCGCCCAUUCGCGAGCUCGCGGCUCGGCUCGGCGCGCGUGUGGGCUUCAUCCACUUCUCAACCCAUUUAACACUUUGGAGGCCCAUAAGAAGUAAUCCCUUAUAAACCACUCAAAGUUCACUCCCUCCACCAAUGUGGGAUGGAGGAAACAUACCAACUUGUAUGUUUACCUUCAAUAUUUCCAACACAAGGCGUAUCCUAAUACAUCUGCCUUGAAUGCACUUACCAAACAUGCAAAUACCAAAACUACCCUCCAUUAGGUAAACUUGGCCCAUCCAUUUUUUUUAUUAUUUUUUCAGUGUGUGAAAUAUUGUUUAAUACAUGGAGCAAAAGUUCUUGUGGGUGAUAAGAGGCAUAGCCUCGGGUUUUCUUUUUAUGAGCGUUGAUGUCAAGAAUGAGAUGCUCAUAGCAAGAAUUAUAAGCAGCAGAACUAUGAGGUUGAUUACUGAACGUACAGCAACUGAACCAUCCAAUAAUGAAUACGUGGAUGCAGACCUUCGAGGUAUUCAUCCUCUAAGAAAUAGUACUGCACAUGAGAGCUCAUUAUUUAUUGCUUUACUUUUCAUACUUGUUGGUAUGAAAAUUAACAACCUUUAGUGGCGACAUCUUUAGCGGCGAUCAAUGUCUUUUAGCGACGGACCAUAAGCGGCGACCUUUUAGCGGCGACUUGUCGUCGCUAAAGCCUUUAGCGGCGACAUGUGAGACUUUUAGCGAUGACAAAAGUCGCCGCUAAUGCUCCGUUUUCCUGUAGUGAGUGUCUGUGUUUCCGGUUGUAUAGUGUAUUCGUACGAGUACGGACACCCUUCUAAUGUGUGUACACACUAAACUUUAAGACACACGGUGUGGAGGGGCUUGAAGAUGGGGCAUCAUGCGACACGGGGACCACACGUCAGAAUGUGGUAUGGUGCUAAAACGGACGGUGUGGGAGUGGCGUUUUUUUAAUAUAUAUAUAUAUAUAUAUAUAUAUAUAUAGGGGAGGGUUUAAAUGAGAACACCUAUCUUUUGUGAGAACAAUGAGAACAAUUCUCAGCCAAUCAAUUCCUUUCCCUUUCAUUUAAAUUAUAAGGGUAAAUUGGUAAUUGUAAAUGUAGUUUCUAGAAACAAGCUUUUCUUUUUUACUCUUGUUAGCAACAACAGUGUGGUAUACGUCUCCGAUUCCAGCUCACCAUGAUGAUCACUGUGAGGUGAUCGUGAAAGAAGGCCACAAUGUAAUGGUGGUUGAGUCAAAUAAGAAGCUGAAGACCCAACGUACGUGCUGAUUUCACACUCGAUGUCGUUCGUUUCUGGCUUGAUUUGAAACACGACACUUUUAAUGAGAAAAAGAACCGACAAAGAUGAUUUCCAGGUCCAAGAUAAACUAUAGCUCAAGGAAUCGAUAAGGUGACGAAGGUCGCCAAAGACGUUUGGAUUCAAAUUUUGCUACAGAUGCAGGGGAGCUAUUUCACAUCUAACCCAUCAAGGUUUGGAUUAAAAUUUUGCUAUAGGUGCAGGGUUAUUUCUUGUUUUCUUCUAAUUCAUAUCAAUUAGCAACUAGUGUAGGUGGUAAUGCUCACAAGCCAAAUCAAAUAGUGUUAUGUUUAAGAUACUUUUUUUAUUUUCUCUAUCAAUCUGUUUUAUCAAUCUGUUUUAGAUGUUAUGUACACAAUCACCAGGUUCCUUUCUAUCCAUGUAUUCUUUUUAAUAAAAUGCCAUAGCUUUUCAAUUGUAUUCAGAUAAUCAUUCUAAUUUUUUUUUUCUGUCAUAACUGCCAUGUUCAAGUUACACAUUCGUAAUUUAAGAUUCAAGUUACACAUUUGUAAUAGCUUGCUAAAUUACACAUGUGUUAAUAACAUAAUAAUAAGAGUUUGGAUUACUUGUUGACUUACAUACACCUAAA